ensembl:lncRNA
CUGUGCAGGCUUUAUGUGCUACAUAUCUCUGAUUAAACAGAUAUGUAUUUUUAACUGUUUCUGUUUCAGGAGAGUGCCGGGCAGGAUUUUAUUGUGAUUGGGGAUCGAGCAGAGCAGAUCGGGCUCUGUGUCCAGCCGGGUUUUUCUGCCCCCGGGGUACGUCAGCUCCAAUUCCUUGUCCUGCUGGAUCAUUUAGUCCUGAAACGGGCAACACGAAUCAAAACAACUGCACCAUCUGUGCUGCUGGAUACUACUGUGAUGGUGAAGAUACGGUGCAGCCUGCACUUUGUCCUGUUGGACACUACUGCCCUGCAGGCCUGAGUUAUGGAAUGAAGUUUCCAUGUCCACUUGGUACGGUGCAGAGCCAGCGGGGAGUGUCAAGCCUAGAUGGAUGCCUGCCUUGCCCUGCUGGAUCAUUCUGCUCUGAAUCUGGUCUUGUUAAGCCUAGCGGCAUGUGUGAGGCAGGAUUCUACUGUCCAGCUGGAUCGACCAGCCCAAACUCUACUGAGUAUCAGAUGAAUUCUUCCACGGGCUAUUUGUGUCCAUUUGGCCACUACUGCCCUGCAGGCACUGGUUACCCUCUCCCCUGCCCUGUGGGAUCCCUUUCUGUUUUUCAAGGACUAAAGGCAGCCGGCGACUGCACACCAUGCCCUCCUGGACUCUUUUGUGACAAACCUUCAAUGGCAAAGGUCUCAGAAGCUUCUCCGUGUCAGGCUGGGUAUGUUUGCUUGGGUGGAAGCUCCAUUCCCACCCCAUCCGACGGUCUCCAUGGUUACCGCUGCCCUGCAGGCCAUAGCUGUCCUGUUGGCUCAGCGACUGAAGUACCUUGUGAACCUGGCACAUAUAGUCCGGUCCCCGGGGCAGCCCAGUGCAUAACAUGCCCCAAAGGCACCAUGUGUUCCUCCUUAGCUACUCAAGUGCCUUCUACCUGCCCCGUUGGGAAAUACUGUCCUACAGGGAUAGCCGACCCUCUGCCAUGCCCUUUUGGGACAUUCAGUAACCGGACAGGUGCAGAUUCCCUCUCCACUUGCACACCCUGUCCCUCUGGUGUGUACUGUAGCUCUACUGGAGCCUCAGCACCACAAGGUCCAUGUUUGCAGGGUUACUUCUGUCAAGCUGGAGCAACGGAGCCAACACCUCAGAGCUCUGACAACUUUCCUAGGAAUGGCCUUUGUCCUGUAGGACAUUACUGCCCAGAAGGCUGCCUUUCUCCAAUCCCAUGUCCAGCUGGUAGCAUCCGUAACACAACUGGCGGCGUUUCCAUGGAGAGCUGCACUUCCUGUCCUGCGGGUCAAUAUUGCUCGACUGAAGGUCUGUCUAACCCCACAGGCCAUUGUGCAGCUGGUUUCACCUGCCCCUUUGACUUCUCUUCAACCACACCAUUUGCCUUCCUUUGUCCAAAGGGUUACUUCUGUCCAAGAGGAGCAGCCCUGCCUUUGCCUUGUCCCACAGGAGAAUACCAGCCUAAUUCUGGUUCAGACAGCUGCAUCCCUUGCCGACCUGGUUUCUACUGUGAGGAGGCUAUAGAAGGAGAACCCAGACCCUGUCCACCACAUUCAUUCUGUCCUGCUGGUACAAAGGUACCUCAGCCAUGUCCAAAAGGAACGUACACUUAUUCAGAGCAGGAGGGACUCCAGGAGGAAGGACAGUGUUUGCCCUGUCCCCCAGGGAAGUUCUGCAGGGCUGGGAGGAUCCAGGGAGCUUGUGCUGCCGGGUAUCUUUGUGUUGCUGGGAGUGCAGAUUUCAUGCCUCAGAGUGAAAUAUCUAAUAUGAACCAGUGUCAGUGGGGAGUGCCGUGCGCUGGACCUUGUCCUCCAGGUUCCUAUUGUCCUGAAGGAACAAAAGAGCCACAUUUCUGUCCUGAAAAUACCUUCAGAAACUCCUCGGGAGGUGCCAGUACACAAGACUGUUUACCCUGCCCAUCCGGAUAUUGGUGUAAAGCAGGAGAUCCAAUCAUUACUCUGUGUCCUGAUGGCUACUACUGUACUGAUAUAUUAUUUAGUGACCAUGAUGAGACAUCUGGACCCAGGCCGUGUCCACUCUACACUUAUCGAGCUUCCCCUGGAGCAAAAAACAAGGCUGACUGCUUGCCCUGCCCUCCUGGUUCACACUGUAACAGCACAGGGCUUACAGACUUCUCCAGCAGCCUCUGCCCACCUGGCUUUUGGUGCAGCGGGUCUGGACCUCCCAUUUUCUGCCCAGCAGGAACCAAAAGGCCACUUUCUGGAGCAGCUGCACCAAACCAAUGUGAACCCUGUGCAGGAGGAACGUUCUGCCCGGACCCCAGGGACACAGGAAUCCCUAACGUAGAGGGGAUUCCCUGCAGGGCUUCAUAUUACUGUCCAGUUGGUGCAGUUUCGGAGAUAUUAUGCAGUGCUGGCUCAUACUGUGGACCAGGGACAGCUGAGCCCCAAAUAUGUCCGGAGGGUUAUUAUUGUCCGGUGGGAUCCCAAUUCUAUAACCACUCAAAACAACUCUGCCUAUUUCCAUACUAUUGCCCAGCCAACAGUUUUACAAUGAAAUUAUGUGAAGGGGGUUCAAUGCCCGUAAAUACAAAUGGCGUCAGAGGAUUCCAAAACACAAGCUGUAGUUUAUGCGAAGUCGGCACCUAUCGGCCAUACCUCUCCCCAAACCUGGAAUGUGAUCCCUGUCCAUCUGGUUACUACUGCCCCAGAGGUACAGACAACUACAAGAAACACCCUUGUCCUAUUGGUUAUGUCUGCCCCACGGGAUCUAACCAUCCAAUAUCUUGCCCUCCUGGAUCAUUUGGCAACUUUACAAAUGGUGAAAAAAUAAGUGACUGCCAUUCAUGCCCAGUUAACACCUUUAAUCAUCUGCCCGCCCAGAGGGCCUGCUUUCCCUGUGGCAGCUCAUCCACUUCACCGUCUGGCUCUUCUUCUUGUACAUGUAUUGGUCAAAAUCGUGCUUUCCAGUAUUCGGAUGGAUCAUGUUUAUGCAGGACUGGCUUUAUUUUCUACAAUCAACUGGAUUUUAAAAGAGCUACUGCUGACAGUAAAUUGGACUGUCAACCUGAGGUGAACAAACGCUGCUCUACAGGGGAGGUGCGUUUGGCAGCAUCCCGAGAGUGUGUAUCGCCAACACGUCACUCCUGUAAUAUCACUUGUAGUCCAUCGGGAGGAACUCUUGAUGUGGAGAUGGGCAUGUGAGACAUUUUCAGGUCAUGAAUUCAUUUUCGGUGGAGUUCCCUGGUCUGAAUAAGAAAACAAAAAAAUAUAUUGUGUUAAAACUGCUAAUGUGAGCCAAAGUCAAAUUAAAAUAAAAUGAAAGCUUCUGGUGAUCUACACCUUCUCCCUUAUCUGGCAUCAACAGCUGCCAGUGCGAGCAAUAUGUGUCAGCUGAAGAGCUUUGCAACACCUCCUGCCUUUCCAGACUGCCUCAACUCUCUACUCAGCUCACGGCAGAGGAAAAGCUGCUGCUCGUCGUCAAAGAGAAUGACAAAGAGGUCUGGGCGAGGACAAUGAUACAUGUUUUAGGCCCAGAUGUCCAUGCAAAGACUUUUGGGAAAACACAUCUGGUCCUAUUUUCUUCUGAAGGAGUGUUUGGUUUCAUCCCCACGAAAAAAGACUUAAUCGCUAAGUUUCUCUCAGAGCCAAGAGCUAGAACAAAGAGAGACACGGAGGAGGAGGAGGAGGAGGAGGAGGAGGAGAUUUUACCUCUAAUUCCAAACCCAAUUGCUUGUCUUACUACUGGAGACAUGCUCCUUUUCCAUCUUACCAUCAACCAUAAUGAUCGUCAUUCCAGCCACUUUCCAGUCUACGUGAAAGAUCACCUGUUUAACAGCAACCCCAGCUGGGACUUUGGAGCCUUCAGAAACCUGCAGACACUCAUCAAGCAGACCAACCUAAACUCGACCCUGUUCGCCCAUGUCUUCUCAGAGCCUGGGAAGUAUGUGUUUGUGGACAAUGCCUUCUCUCAGAGGAGUUUGGUGGUAGUAGUUUGUGAUGAGGACACAGUGUGUGACCACAGAGCUGCUGUAUUUCAGCCCAUGACUUCAGCACAGUUAGUCAAGCACGGCAUUGUCAAGCAGCAUAAACUCAACCUCCUACCUGACUGGGGAGUUAUUGCAGGGGUCCUCAGCACACUCUUGCUUGCGGUCAUACUUCUGACCUCCACAUUUCUAGUUCUACGCCCUGGGAAAACAAAGCUUGUGUCCCAGUGUAAGAUUAAACCGAAAUGGCGCAGUCUCGGGGAGCCUUUCUGUCCAAUGGAGUGCGUUUGUAGCAGAGAAAGAGGUGUAGGAGAAGGAGCUGAAGCGGAAGAGCCAAGUAUUAAAAAAGGAGGCUACUGCAAUUUGGAGGAGUUCAAUGUGAAAACACUGUAUGACAAGCUGGAGGAUCAGAACCUCCACGUAGCCUCACAACUGGCUCACCACCGCAAAGACAUUCAAGAGUUUUAUAGAAAUAUGUGUCAACAAACUGAAUCACUUAAGAAUGUUUUGGAGACUAUGGACCAUAAAAAAAUGAAUCUGUUGAAGGAUCUGCUGUGUCAUAAGGUGAUGAAGGACAAACUAUUCAAUACCAGUGUGGAGGAGAGGGACGCACAAGAUGCCUCCACGUCAUUAAUGGGAGCUGUCCUCCAAUCAGUGGAAGCUCUUUUAUACAGGCUGUCCCAAGACUCUUGGCAGAACCAGGACUUGUUCCAAUGCGAAAUCAGUCCUCCCGAUGAGUGUACGCCACAGUUUCCAUCACCAAUGAAAACAGCUCUUCCAACACACGGAACAGAACUAAACCAGAGCACAAUUCCCAGCCUGACUGACCAUGACCUAUCUAAGCUGAUCACCAUUUCUCCUCUACACGAGACCUUAAAGCUGAUCCAGACGUCACUAGAAAACCUCACCAAAAGUGAUCUUCAAAAUGCGGCCUCAGAGGAUUUAGAUCAAUGUAAUAAUGAUCAGCGACUUGUCCCAGUCGCUCUGGAUGACCUCCCCCCACAACACUCUGCGGUCUUCCUGUUUGGAUGUCAAGUGAUGCAAUUGCUUGUGAACUGCCCUUUGUUUCCCCCUGUGCUCCUGCUGCUGGCCAAGUCAAUCCCCUCUUCUUCAUUGUCGUGUAAUGAGAGUCUGCUGGUACAUUGCUCAAGGGACUUUUAUUUUGAUGCAACCAAUCAAAUCCUCUAUCUUCCUGAGGCAAAGCUCCAUCAUGUGGGACAUUUCAUUGCAAUCCUGGUGCAGUCCAUGGCCCACAUAGCAUCAGGAUCCAAACCACAGAGGUUUAUACAAGCUCUUCAUGAGGCUAUUUCAGCUCUAAGCCUACAGCUCUUCAACCUCUCCAUUCAGUGCAGCACAGCAGAGUCAAUUCCUAAGGCGUCAGAUGAUCAACAUCGUUCCUUGGGAGAUGAGUUUCUCCACAUCAGAUUUCCCUUUGAGACGAGCUUCACAGAACACACGCUAGCCAGCAGACUGGAGAAAUUUAGAUAUUUCAAAUUGGAGCAGCUCAUCUCAAUCAUCGAACAAAGAACUUCCCAGAAAAAUGAAACAGGUUUGCCACCAAAAGUGACAUCGAUGCAGGUGUCAUGCAUAGAGGAGGAAAUUGACCGUUUGAAUGAGCUUUUCCUGUUGCUGAGCAUGCAGCUGCAGGGAAGAGCACAAAUUAGCACCCUGUUAAAGGAAAGGGAGAGCGCUGAUGAAAAGCCAUCUCUGAGGGCAAAUGCAACAAGCAUGUCAAGUCUGAGUCGUAAUGGAACAAUCCUCCUGGAGCUGAAGAGAAGCUAUGUGUCACAGCGGCUCGAUGAGCUCCAUACUAUGUUAGGUCAGAUCAGACAGCGCCAGCAGCACAACAACAAGUGGAAAGAUGAGACAAGAGGCUUUCCACAAGCAGAAAGCAGCACUUCUCCACAAGAGACAUGGAAGUGUUAUUCUGGUCAAAAGGGGGCUAACGUUAACCCCGCUGAUGGCCAGCGGGUGGACAGUGUUUCACAAAGUCAGGAUCGCAGGCAAUUUACCAUUGAGAGCAGAGGUCUCAGUGACUGUUGAGCAUUGCCUUGGAAAAACUAGCAGAGAGAUGAGACAUCCUCCCACACAUUAGUGGACUACCAGAUGGCAGAAGGAUAUUUAUCACUUUCUCUGGUAAACAGAAGCUAAGCACCUAGCUGAUCAGCACUGGGACAGUGCAAUCACAAAUAAAUACUAAUUACUAGUAUGGAAAACA